AACGGCUACCACAUCCAAGGAAGGCAGCAGGCGCGCAAAUUACCCACUCCCGGCACGGGGAGGUAGUGACGAAAAAUAACGAUACGGGACUCAUCCGAGGCCCCGUAAUCGGAAUGAGUACACUUUAAAUCCUUUCACGAGGAUCAAUUGGAGGGCAAGUCUGGUGCCAGCCGCCGCGGUAAUUCCAGCUCCAAUAGCGUAUAUUAAAGUUGUUGCGGUUAAAAAGCUCGUAGUUGAAUCUGUGUGCCACGCUGUCGGUUCACCGCUCGCGGUGCUCAACUGACAUGAUCGUGGGACGUCCUACCGGUGGGCUUAGCUCGUAUCUCUAGGGAUCGGGCGGUCCGACAAUAUCCCAUCGCGGUGCUCUUCACUGAGUGCCGAGGUGGGCCGGUACGUUUACUUUGAACAAAUUAGAGUGCUUAAAGCAGGCUAUCCUCGCCUGAAUACUGUGUGCAUGGAAUAAUGGAAUAGGACCUCGGUUCUAUUUUGUUGGUUUUCGGAACCCCGAGGUAAUGAUUAAUAGGGACAGAUGGGGGCAUUCGUAUUGCGACGUUAGAGGUGAAAUUCUUGGAUCGUCGCAAGACGGACAGAAGCGAAAGCAUUUGCCAAGA
rnacentral:rRNA from 1 species